rnacentral:lncRNA from 1 species
AUUCGAAUUUCUUUUAGAGACUUUAACGGAUUUCUUCCUGAUAUUUUCCAUAUUUGCACAGUAAUACCUGUCUUUUUUAUUUUUAAUUUUUAUCUCUAAAAAUUUGUAACUAGCUUAUAAGUCUAUGUUAACUAGAUGAGAAUGAAUAUUCUACCUUUAUACUCGUCAAGGAAUUGAUUUCAUAUUUAUUGGAUAUUUUGGGCCCCAGUGGUCAAACUUAAUGAAUUCCUUCGCUCGCACCAGUCCCUCCAUCAUAUUUGUCAAG